rnacentral:rRNA from 1 species
GACCAGACUCCUACGGGAGGCAGCAGUGGGGAAUAUUGGGCAAUGGGCGAAAGCCUGACCCAGCAAUGCCGCGUGAAUGAAGAAGGUCUUAGGAUUGUAAAAUUCUGUCCUAUGGGAAGAAGCAAAUGACGGUACCAUAGGAGGAAGCCCCGGCUAACUACGUGCCAGCAGCCGCGGUAAUACGUAGGGGGCAAGCGUUAUCCGGAUUUACUGGGUGUAAAGGGAGCGUAGACGGCAUGGCAAGUCUGAUGUGAAAACCCGGGGCUCAACCCCGGGACUGCAUUGGAAACUGUCAGGCUAGAGUGUCGGAGAGGCAAGUGGAAUUCCUAGUGUAGCGGUGAAAUGCGUAGAUAUUAGGAGGAACACCAGUGGCGAAGGCGGCUUGCUGGACGAUGACUGACGUUGAGGCUCGAAAGCGUGGGGAGCAAACAGGAUUAGAUACCCGAGUA